rnacentral:rRNA from 1 species
UACGUAGGGUGCAAGCGUUAAUCGGAAUUACUGGGCGUAAAGCGUGCGCAGGCGGUUUCGUAAGCCUGUCGUGAAAGCCCCGGGCUCAACCUGGGAAUUGCGAUGGAGACUGCGAGGCUAGAGUGUGUCAGAGGGGGGUAGAAUUCCACGUGUAGCAGUGAAAUGCGUAGAUAUGUGGAGGAACACCGAUGGCGAAGGCAGCCCCCUGGGAUAACACUGACGCUCAUGCACGAAAGCGUGGGGAGCAAACAGG